ensembl:lncRNA
GGGUGGACGCCUCCGCGGCCCUGCACCCCUCUCCUUGGCCCCGCGUCUUAUCUGCUCUCAAGCCCUCAAGAGCCGUCUCAACCUCUGACCCGCCGCGACCCAGCGUCCCCACUCAUGGGUCCCCCAAGGGUUACCAGCAGGCAAGCACUUUCUCCUCAGCCCUCCAUGCAGCCCCUCUGAGUUCCCGCCUUCCCCAGGACGUCCCCCGUCCCAGGACACACGCCUAGGGGCUUCUACCGGCACUGACCUGGGAUGCCCCAUCCUCUGUGCCCACGUAGCGUCCAUGAAGCUGGUCCUACCAACACCUCAUCUGUGUCUUCAGUACUAUUUCCUGGGCUCACACCCAACGCCUGGGACUUGGCCUGAAUCCUUCUGACUUCUUCCAGAAGAUUCCUUGGCUAAUCCCGUGUUCUCUGCUGCUCUGUCACCGCCUCCAUAGUCUGACCCCCCAGGACCCCUAACCCUAGGGACCCUUGACCACGACCCUGACAGCUCUCAACAUGCUGCACGUGUACCGCUGGCCAGCCCCCUAGUUCAUCCUCCCCAUGUGUCCUGGACCGACCAGGCAUCAGAAUGACUCUUGUUCUCACGUGAAGCUUUAUCCCAGAACCCUGGUGUUUAGUGGCCUCAAAAAGUGCCUGUUUUAGAGGAAAUUCCCUCCACUCUGCCCGCGAGCGCCCACCCUCCCCUCUGCGGAUUGGCUCCGGCGAGGAUAUGACACCAGCAAGGCCACAGUUGAUUGGCUUGUAGGGAACCAAUCAGAGCCCUUAUCUGGGAGUGACGCUUGGCAGUCUGGGAAGGUGGGCACCCAGCGGAGACUGAUCGGUAGGCCUAGAAGUUGGAGGGAGCGGGUGGUUGAAGACGGUGGUUAGAGGAGGUGGAUGGCGAAUGUGAGCCGCAGAGCGACGAGGGGCAAGGGGUCCCGGAUGGCUUCCUGCGCUAAUCGUUCAUGGCCGUCGGAGUUGGUGGAGGUUCCUGCCACGUGCUCCUUGGGCCGCCAUCCGCAGGCCUGCAAGACCCUGUUGACGCCUGUGCGCACACGGCAGGCCAGCCCACAAGGCUGCACUUGCACGCUACCUGCUCCCUGGGUCUGCGCGUCAGAGUCAGCAGGGAAGGCUUAUCUCUGCUCUGUGGGACGCCAGCUGAAUGGCCCAGCUGAUGGGGGAUAAGAACUCCCCUGACAAGAAGGCGCAUCUAUCCAGAGAGCAAGGGAUGCUGACUCCUCCCCACACAGCCCUCUCCAUGGACUGCUGCUGGAAUAGAUACUCUGGAUAUGGAUUUGUCUCCGCCCACUCUAGGAGGCUUCUGCCAGCUGCACUGUUGUGGACUUGGAAGCCAUUAGUGGUGUCCAUGCAACUCGGCUUCUGAUCAAGGAGUUCAUUUCACAGAAAGGGGUGAGCGCUGGGUAUGUACCAUGGGACACCUCAUCUUAUGACCCCACCUGCCCAGGACUGCUAGAAAGUUGGUGGGGCCCAUGCAGACUUGGCUGCGGGCUCAGCCUGGGCGACCAAACCGGGCUGAGUACU